rnacentral:lncRNA from 1 species
CUAGUUAGAUGAGGGUAUCCAGUUAGUGGAGGUAUAGUUAGUGGGUAUCAGUUAGAUGGAGGUAUCAGUUAGAUGGAGGUGUUUCCCUACAGUUCGAGGAGGUAUCAGUUAGAUGGAGGUAUCAGUUAGAUGAGGUGUUUUCUCUACAGUUAGAUGGAGGUAUUUCCCUACGU